GAGCGUUUCACCUGGCUCACCUGACAGCCGCCCUGAAACCCAAUGCCACGACACAAAGGCAUCGGGAAAUAAGCAGUUAUUGUCAGAGACCCCCGCGUCUCUCCGGGGUCAUAUACUGUAUGUUGACAUGGAACCGGAGUACCGGGGCCUGGGCCGCUGUGCGUUCUGUUUCUGGCUCGCAGUAGCCUUUGACAUUGUGGGACUUCUCGUGCUUCUCAUCGGGGUGUUUGUGAACGUGUUUUUCUAUGACCUGCUUAUCUACGCCGGCGCCAUCGUCAUCUUCCUCAGCCUCAUCUGGUGGGUGUUCUGGUACUCUGGGAACAUCGAGGUGCCCCCGGCGGAGCUGGAGGAUGAUGUCGGGUUAUUGAAGAAAGACAAGGGCGGUUUUAGCGGCGCGAUGAGUCGCCUGUCCAGCCGCGUGUCCAACACCAUCAGGAACUCGUUCCGCAGGAACGGAGGACCGUCAAGCACCCGCGCGCAGAGGUCAGCCGCCGGGCCGACCUUGGCACCGCUGGGGGAGCAGGUGGUCGUUGCCAUGGCAACGAUGACUCCGCAUGAGGAUACCCCACACAAUACUGUCCCUUCAGUGGCGGUCUGUGACGUAGCCUAGACAUGCCGCACACAGCAACAGAGACCUCAACUACAUAAUGUAAGCCGACCGAGACUGGAUUAGAUCCUUGCAGUACUGGACUGAGGAGAGCCUUGCUCUCUCCCUGCAGUGCCUUCAGCUGACUCCACUUGAUGCUCCACUUUUUUACUCUUUGUGUGUUUAAUGAAGAAUUAUUCAUAAUUGAUUGUGAAGUGUUGUUGAGUCUUUAUUAAAUAUGUAUAUUUUCCUAAUAAAUGUUAUGUCUUUAAUCAGUA